AUGACGGCAACAUCUACGUCGGCACAAUCAGGAACAUGAUCCUGGAGGGGUCCAUGAUGCGUCGCUUCAACACGGUGGUGUUCGGCCACAGUAAACAGCUGUCGGGCCUGGCCACCUGCAACGAGGAGGUGUCGUUUGUCACCGCGGGAAGCGACAGGGUGGUGGCCAAGUGGUCGGCGCAGCGUAAGCUUAUAUGGAAGUCGCCGGUGAGCAGCGAGGCGGUGUCGUGCAGCGUCCACCCGCUGGACACGGUCGUGGCCGUGGG